rnacentral:rRNA from 1 species
UGGAUCCAGACUUUGAUUCUGGCUCAGGAUGAACGCUAGCUACAGGCUUAACACAUGCAAGUCGAGGGGAAACGACAUCGAAAGCUUGCUUUUGAUGGGCGUCGACCGGCGCACGGGUGAGUAACGCGUAUCCAACCUGCCCACCACUUGGGGAUAACCUUGCGAAAGUAAGACUAAUACCCAAUGACGUCUCUAGAAGACAUCUGAAAGAGAUUAAAGAUUUAUCGGUGAUGGAUGGGGAUGCGUCUGAUUAGCUUGUUGGCGGGGUAACGGCCCACCAAGGCGACGAUCAGUAGGGGUUCUGAGAGGAAGGUCCCCCACAUUGGAACUGAGACACGGUCCAAACUCCUACGGGAGGCAGCAGUGAGGAAUAUUGGUCAAUGGGCGAGAGCCUGAACCAGCCAAGUAGCGUGCAGGAUGACGGCCCUAUGGGUUGUAAGCUGCUUUUAUAAGGGAAUAAAGUGAGUCUCGUGAGACUUUUUGCAUGUACCUUAUGAAUAAGGACCGGCUAAUUCCGUGCCAGCAGCCGCGGUAAUACGGAAGGUCCGGGCGUUAUCCGGAUUUAUUGGGUUUAAAGGGAGCGUAGGCCGGAGAUUAAGCGUGUUGUGAAAUGUAGACGCUCAACGUCUGCACUGCAGCGCGAACUGGUUUCCUUGAGUACGCACAAAGUGGGCGGAAUUCGUGGUGUAGCGGUGAAAUGCUUAGAUAUCACGAAGAACUCCGAUUGCGAAGGCAGCUCACUGGAGCGCAACUGACGCUGAAGCUCGAAAGUGCGGGUAUCGAACAGGAUUAGAUACCCUGGUAGUCCGCACGGUAAACGAUGGAUGCCCGCUGUUGGUCUGAAUAGGUCAGCGGCCAAGCGAAAGCAUUAAGCAUCCCACCUGGGGAGUACGCCGGCAACGGUGCAACUCAAAUGAAUUGACGGA